AUGGUCUUUAUGGUGAGGCAAAUGCAGGAAAAAUGCCUUGAGCAGAACCUGAGUCUCUACAUUGUCUUCAAAGACCUGACAAAGGCAUUCGACACAGUAAACAGGGACGCAUUGUGGGUGAUCCUCAGCAAGCUUGGUUGCCCAGCAAAAUUCAUCAAACUGAUCCAACUCUUUCAUGUCGACAUGACAGGGGAAGUCCUAUCUGGUGGAGAGACUUCCGACCGCUUCAACAUCUCCAAUGGCGUGAAACAAGGCUGUGUCCUUGCUCCGGUACUAUUCAACCUAUUUUUCACCCAAGUAUUACGACAUGCUGUGAUGGAUCUAGACCUGGGCGUCUACAUCAAAUACCAACUGGAUGGCUCACUAUUUGACCUUCGCCGCCUGACCACAAAAACAAAGACAACAGAGAGACUCAUCCUGGAAGCUCUCUUUGUAGAUGACUGUGCUCUCAUGGCCCACCAAGAAAAUCAUCUCCAAACCAUUGUGGACAGGUUCUCCACCGCAACAAAACUGUUUGGCCUGACUAUCAGCCUCAGCAAAACAGAGGUGCUGUUCCAACCUGCACCAGGGAGGCCAACUAACCAGCCGUGCAUUACAAUCGACAGCACGCAGCUUUCUAACGUCAACACUUUCAAGUACCUGGGCAGCACCAUCGCCAACGACGGGUCCCUAGACCACGAGAUUAAUGCCAGGAUCCAAAAGGCCAGCCAGGCACUUGGGCGGCUGUGCUGCAAAGUCCUCCAACACAGAGGUGUAAGCACUGCAACGAAGCUCAAAGUGUACAACGCAGUGGUCCUCAGCUCGCUCCUGUACGGUUGCGAGACAUGGACUGUACCAGAAGCACAUGAAACAGCUGGAGCAAUUCCACCAACGCUCCCGCCGGUCAAUCAUGAGGAUCCGAUGGCAGGACCAAAUCACCCACCAGGAAGUCCUCGACAGAGCCAAGUCCACCAGCAUCGAAGUCAUGGUCCUCAAAACCCAACUACGAUGGUCUGGACACAUCAUCCUCAUGGACCCACAGCGAAUACCAAGACAGGUAUUCUAUGGUGA
rnacentral:lncRNA from 1 species